UUCAAUUGAAUGUAAGAUGAUAGGUAUAUGGAUUGCUGUUUCAUUUCUCCGCUUCAAAUGUGACACUGGUAGAUCCCAAGUCCACUAAGGUUAUAAUUAUCGUGUCAGCGUAAACUCUGAUCCUUAGGUUCUACAUUGGUUAUGAGGACUGGCCCGAUGCUGGACUAAUCAUAAAGAUUGACAUAAUACACACGUAGACAAAAAGAGAGAUAUCUGAACUUUUUAUACAUAUGAUGAUUAUACAAAGUUGAUAUACAAGAGCCAAGUGAUCUUAUAUGCUUUGUUCAUAUUCAAGAGGUCGCAGAAGAUGCAGAGACGUUAGAAAUCAGUCUUACUUCAUAGAGAUGCAGUCUUACUUCAUAUCGACAAAGCAAAAGGGAAAGAACUUCGCCGCCGAAUCGCCUCCGAGGAAAGACUUGGUAAGUGGUGGGAGUUUUCCUGACGAUUCUGGCUUGCUCCGGCGUGAGACUUUCACAGAUGUCACCUGUCUGGAUCUCGCCCGGUGUUUGCUAGCCGCCGACGCUGAGGAGUUGCAGCUGAGGGGAAACGAGGACGAUAGGGACUCGGUCGAAAUUGACAGUGUCGAUCCAAAUAGCACUGAGGGUCCUUCUUCAGAUGAUCGGGCAACUUGCAUUGAGGAGGAGCCUCUGUACCUGACUUACUAUCGUCCGAACUGGGUUUUCGAGCAACUACCGACGCUCUCGCCGAACUCGUGUGUCUGUCGGUCGUGGAAGGACAGAGCUGGGGGAACAUAAGGCGUACUCGUUCCUUGGUCGAGAGCCUAAAGAAGCUCUUGAGAGAGUGUGGGGCCACUGGCGUGACUUUUCUUUUUCCGGGACGUGAUCAACGACAUUGGACGCCCCCAGUCGGUAUUCAGUACAUAUAUAAACAGUGGCGGAGCCACCCUCGUAGGAAUGGGGUCAAAUGACCCAUGUGGUUUUUCCAAAAAAAAAAAAUCUACAUGUAUUUCUUAUUAAAAAACUUUGAAAAUACUGUAUUAUUUUCAAAUACUGUAUUUCUUAUUAACAAUAAAAAAAAUAAAAAUUUCUUAUUAACAAUAAUAAAAAUUUACAUGUAUUUCUUAUUAAAAAACUUUGUCAAUUAGUAUGUGAAUUUAUUUCACAUGUGACCAAGAAAUUAAAGAAUAAAAUUAUUAUUGUUUUGACCAAUUCAAACAAAAUAAUAUACUUUAAAAUAGAUUUCUUUUUUAUAUUUUAUCAAUAUAAAAUAUCAACAUACAUUUGAUUUAAGUUAAUGAACAUGUAACAUGAAGUCCAACUAAUAAAUCAAAACUCAAAUCCAAGUUCAAAUAUCCAAUGAGUGUAUUUGCUAAUUUUGUACAAGUUUCUCAAAUCACACGCAUUAAACCUCUAUUUCUCAUUCAAAUAAAACUUCAUUUUUGAUAUAUGAAUACAUUAUUCAUAAUAUUCAAAAAAUAUUUCCAACAAAAACACGUAUAUUAAGAAAAUCAUUUUUUGUCUAGAAAAUAUCGUUAAAACUAUAAAUUAAUGUUACUCAGCCAAUUACAAAAUAUAUUAUCAAUUAUUAUUGGUUACACAGUUUUUAAUAAAAUAAAAAAUUACCUAAAAAAAUAAAAACAUCUUAUAUGUUCUUUUGAUUGUUGUAAUUCAUAAAGCCGUGAGUAUAUGCACGAUCGUUGAUCUACUUCGCAUUCCCCGUCAGUGUAGACUGUAUUAAGCAUUUAAAGUUAUAAUUGAGUUCUAUAAUUCAAUAAAGAGUUUUGAUUGACAAUUCUUAUCACAUACAAAGUUGUUAGAUCUUCUGACAGCAUCUCCAAUCCCUAACUAUUUCCACCUCUAUAUGCUAUAAUAGAGGUAAAAGUGGUACAUCUCAUAUCUAUUUCCACCUCUAAAAUAGAGAUUGCUAUUUUUUCCUCUAUUUAUAGAGAAAAAAAAUAGCAUUCCUCUAUUAUAGAGUCAUACUUUUUUAUUUUCAAAAUAGUCCUUUAAUUUUCAAAUUUUUAUAGUUGUGACCAAAAUAAUUAUAUUUAUAGAGAAAUACAAUUUUUGUAGGAGUAUAAUAACAUUUUUUAUUUACAUAAUAGUCUUUUAACAAAACUUUAGUUUAAAAAAAUUUAUAAGUUUAUGAAAAUAUUUUAAAAGUUAAAAAUAAAUAGGGCUAGUUAUCAACUUUUAUAAACAAAAUGUAUUUUUUUGUAAAAUUAAAAUAGAAUUUUUUGAGAAUAUUCCUUUAUAUAGGCAAAAAUAGAGAAAUACAUUGGAGAUAAACUCAUCUCUAUUUUAGAGAUGUUCUAUUUUAGAGGUAAAAUAGGAGAAUACAUUGGAGAUGGUCUAAGAGCAUCAACAACGCUGAUUCUUAACCAAAAAUCUUUAAAAUUAAAUUAUUAUAAUAAUUUGUGGGGCCCAAACAAUUUAAGAAUAUGUGUCAACUUUGUCUCUUGCAAUCUCUAGCUAAGGAUCGUUUUACUGACAGACACUUACUGUGUGCGGGCCCACCGCCACGUGAGAAUCUACGAUUGGCUACUUUUUUUUUUUUUUAAAACAAAAAUAAUAAAAAAAACUUACCUGGGUUAUCGAGCCAUCAGUAUCGGCGUUGCUGAUGCUCUAACGUAUCUAAGGGCAGUUCCAACUUGUAAAAUUAAAAUAAAAUCUUUUGAGAAUAUUCUUUUAUAGAGGCAAAAAUAGAGAAAUACAUUGGAGAUAAACUCAUCUCUAUUUUAGAGAUGCUCUAUUUUAGAGGUAAAAUAGGAGAAUACAUUGGAGAUGGUCUAAGAUCAUCAUCAACGCUGAUUCUUAACCAAAAAUCUUUAAAAUCAAAUUAUUAUAAUAAUUUGUGGUGCCCAAACAAUUUAAGAAUCUGUGUCAACUUUGUCUCUUGCAAUCUCUAGCUAAGGAUCGUUUUACUGACAGACACUUACUGUGUGCGGGCCCACCGCCACGUGAGAGUCCACGAUUGGCUACUUUUUUUUUUAAACAAAAAUAAUAAAAAAAACUUACCUGGGUUAUCGAGCCAUCAUUAUCGGCGUUGCUGAUGCUCUAACGUAUCUAAGGGCAGUUCCAACAGUGGUGUUUUGCGGGGUUCUAUACAAAUAAAACAACAUUUAAAAAAGAUUAAAGAAUAAAGAGAAUGCCAGUUAUGAAGAAAGAGGGAACACACGAUCCUUUAUUAGCAAACGUCUUUGUUUUACUAGCUGACAUUGAUUUUUCAAAAUAAAACUUAACUAAAUAAUAAAAUAUUAUUUUAUCUUUUUGUUAAAGAAACUUAUGUAGUUUCUGCCGUUGAGGGUGGCCUAAGAUUCAGAUAACACACCAACGAAAAAGAUUUAGUAAAUGGUGACAGUAACUUCAAUUGAAUGUAAGAUGAUAGGUAUAUGGAUUGCUGUUUCAUUUCUCCGCUUCAAAUGUGACACUGGUAGAUCCCAAGUCCACUAAGGUUAUAAUUAUCGUGUCAGCGUAAACUCUGAUCCUUAGGUUCUACAUUGGUUAUGAGGACUGGCCCGAUGCUGGACUAAUCAUAAAGAUUGACAUAAUACACACGUAGACAAAAAGAGAGAUAUCUGAACUUUUUAUACAUAUGAUGAUUAUACAAAGUUGAUAUACAAGAGCCAAGUGAUCUUAUAUGCUUUGUUCAUAUUCAAGAGGUCGCAGAAGAUGCAGAGACGUUAGAAAUCAGUCUUACUUCAUAGAGAUUCUCACUUUCUCCUUUACCUUCGAAACGAAAACAUUAAGACAAUUAUUAAAGAUUCAGAAA
rnacentral:lncRNA from 1 species